UACGAAGGGGGCUAGCGUUGCUCGGAAUCACUGGGCGUAAAGCGCACGUAGGCGGCUUUUAAGUCAGGGGUGAAAUCCUGGAGCUCAACUCCAGAACUGCCUUUGAUACUGGGAAGCUCGAGUCCGGGAGAGGUGAGUGGAACUCCGAGUGUAGAGGUGAAAUUCGUAGAUAUUCGGAAGAACACCAGUGGCGAAGGCGGCUCACUGGCCCGGUACUGACGCUGAGGUGCGAAAGCGUGGGGAGCAAACAGG
rnacentral:rRNA from 1 species